rnacentral:lncRNA from 1 species
GUCUGCUGUGCUGGGUGCUGGAGUAGGCAUUUACAGAUGCAAUCCCAGGUUCCUGCUCGUAAGAGUGCAACCACAGGGCUGCUGUUACUUUACAAUGCAGAUGAAGAAAUUGUGGUUCAGAGAGAUAAAGUAGCUGGGCCAGUAUGUAGUGUGGAGUCAAAGGAAUGGGCUGGCUGUGGUGGCCUAAAGGAAAGGGGCCUUUUGCUGUCUGAGAGGUGCCCCUAGACUUUUGCAGACUUCCUCUUGGAGAUGGGAGCCUGAGGAAGCCCGGAUGUUUAUGGGAGCCGGGUCCUUCAUUGCCUGUGUCCCCCACUCUGUCCCCAGGGCAGAGCCAGCCAGCCCCCCCUUCAUCCCCAGGGCCCAGUGGCUGUGGGCACCAUUACCAGCAUCGUUCUGGAAAGUCCAGGUGCUCAAAGCCCAGAGGACCUUCUAUUCAAAGAGAGCAGAUUUGAGGUUUGAGCAAACCCAGCUCACCAGCAAGUCAACGUAGCUUGGUCAAGCAGAGAUGAGCCAAAACUUUGGAAAGAAUCAUCUCAGAAAACCAAGUGCUGUAUCUCCUACCCAUUUAAAAAAUAUGUCUCCCAGUUUUUGUAAACACUCAUAACCAGGAAACAUUUGCUGUGCUUAUACAUGUUAAAAGCUUUUUACAAAUUCUGAGAAAACACUGGAUUUGGUCAGACUGUCUUUUCUUCGGUGAUGUUUGG